rnacentral:rRNA from 1 species
UACAGAGGGGGCAAGCGUUGUUCGGAAUUACUGGGCGUAAAGGGCGCGUAGGCGGCCGCCUAAGUCAGACGUGAAAUCCCUCGGCUUAACCGAGGAACUGCCUGUCAGACUGGAAGGCUUGAGACCGGGAGAGGUGAGUGGAAUUCCCAGUGUAGCGGUGAAAUGCGUAGAUAUUGGGAGGAACACCAGUGGCGAAGGCGGCUCACUGGACCGGAACUGACGCUGAGGCGCGAAAGCGUGGGGAGCAAACAGG